rnacentral:rRNA from 1 species
CCGGCCCCGAUCCAGGACCCCACGGCGCCGCCCUCCUCGCUCGCCAAGGCGGCCGAGCUCGUCACGCGGUUUCGGGAGCAGGGCCAGGCGCUCAUCGCCGCGCGCCGCCCCUGGGGGGAGGUCUUCCGCUCCCCCGCCUUCUCCAAGCCGCCCAACGUCGGCGAGGCCGUCUCCCGGAUGCGCCGCAACACGGCCUACUUCCGCGCCAACUACGCGCUCGCCGUCCUCGCCGUCGUCGCCGCCUCGCUCCUCUGGCACCCGGGCACCCUCUUCGCGCUCCUCGCGCUCUGCGCCGCCUGGUUCUUCCUCUAUUUCGCGCGCCGCGCCGAGGGCGCCCAGCCGCUCCGGGUCUUCGGCACCGAGUUCGACGACGGCACCGUCCUCGCCCUGCUCUCCGGGGUCACCGUCAUCGCCAUGCUCUUCACCGACGUCGGCUGGAACGUCGUCGGUUCGGUCAUGAUCGGGCUCGCCCUCGCGGGCGCGCACGCCGCGCUCAGGUCCACCGACGACCUCUUCCUCACCGAGCAGGAGGCGGCCGGCAACGGCCUCGUGGCCGCAGGCUUCAGCGCUGCUGGACCCAUCUUGCCCACCUAUGUCCGCAUUGGUUGA